rnacentral:rRNA from 1 species
AUAUACAUAUACAUAUAUACAUAAAUUCUUUUUAUACUUUAGAGUAAUUCAAAUAAGGUACAGCCUAUUUGAUAAGGGAUACAACCCCUACUAAUGGGUACACAUUUAAAUCAUACCUUUAAGUAGGCCUAAGAGCAGCCAUCUUUUAAAAAGCGUCAAAGCUUAAUAAUAUGAACAUCAAUCCCUAAAUUUAAAUUUACCCCUUUCUCAUUACUGAGAACUUCUAUAACACUAUAGAAAUUUUUAUGCUAAAACUAGUAACAAGAGGUAAUGACCUCUCUAAGAUGUAAACAUAAACCAGAAUGAAUAAAUCACUGGUAAUUAACAAAUUUAAUUAAAAGUAAUAACUUAUCAAGAAAACAUUACUUUAUACAUUGUUAACCUAACACAAGAACAUCUCAAGAAAGAUUAAAAGAAAAAGAAGGAACUCGGCAAAUAUUGACCCCGCCUGUUUACCAAAAACAUCACCUCUUGAAUUUAUAAGAGGCCAUGCCUGCCCAGUGACCCAUGUUCAACGGCCGCGGUAUCCUAACCGUGCGAAGGUAGCGUAAUCACUUGUCUUUUAAAUAAAGACUUGUAUGAAAGGCUUCACGAGAGUUAUACUGUCUCCUUUUUCUAAUCAGUAAACCUAAUCUCCCCGUGAAGAAGCGGGAAUAAUCAUAUAAGACG